rnacentral:ncRNA from 2 species
GCUUAUUCUCAGGGCGGGGCGCAAUUCCCCACCGGCGGUAAAUCAGUUUUCUGAAAGCCCGCGAGCGCUUUAGCGAGUUUGCUAAAGGUCAGCAGAUCCGGUGUAAAUCCGGGGCCGACGGUUAUAGUCCGGACGGGAGAGGGUAAAA